AAUGACAGGUAUUUUCUUCAUAUAGUAUAAAUCUUUUGCUUUUUACUAAAGAUUUUCAUGGAGAGGAACAUUUAUGAAUUUUUCACUAAUUUUGAGAGCCAGUGAGGUGUAGUGGU
ensembl:snRNA U5 U5 spliceosomal RNA